CUGCUGCCUUCCGUAGGAGUUUGGGCCGUGUCUCAGUCCCAAUGUGGCCGUUCACCCUCUCAGGCCGGCUACUGAUCGUCGCCUUGGUGGGCCGCUACCCCGCCAACCAGCUAAUCAGACGCGGGUCCAUCUUACACCACCGGAGUUUUUAAGACGAAGUCAUGCGACUCCCUCUGUUAUGCGGUAUUAGCACCUAUUUCUAAGUGUUAUCCCCCAGUGUAAGGCAGGUUACCCACGCGUUACUCACCCGUCCGCCACUAAGAUACCAA
rnacentral:rRNA from 1 species